GACGAACGCUGGCGGCGUGCCUAAUACAUGCAAGUAGAACGCUGAAGAGAGGAGCUUGCUCUUCUUGGGUGAGUUGCGAACGGGUGAGUAACGCGUAGGUAACCUGCCUUUUAGCGGGGGAUAACUAUUGGAAACGAUAGCUAAUACCGCAUAACAAUGGGUGACACAUGUCAUUUAAGUGAAAGAGGCAAUUGCUCUACUACAAGGAGGACCUCCGGUGUCUUAGGUAGUAGGUGAAGUAAAGGGCCACCUAAGCGAAGAAACAUAGCCGAACCGAGAGGGUGGUCGGCCAACCUGGGAAUGAGAAACGGCCCAGACUCCUUCGGGAGGCAGCAGUAGGGAAUCUUCGGCAAUGGGGGCAACCCUGACCGAGCAACGCCGCGUGAGUGAAGAAGGUUUUCGGAUCGUAAAGCUCUGUUGUAAGUCAAGAACGGGUGUGAGAGUGGAAAGUUCACACUGUGACGGUAGCUUACCAGAAAGCGACGGCUAACUACGUG
rnacentral:rRNA from 1 species